AUUACCGAGUUUACAACUCCCAAACCCCUGUGAACAUACCUAUAACGUUGCCUCGGCGGUGCCCGCUCCCCGUAAGACGGGACGGCCCGCCAGAGGAUCCACAAACUCUGUUUCCACUACAGUAUCUUCUGAGUAAACACAAGUAAAUAAAUCAAAACUUUCAACAACGGAUCUCUUGGUUCUGGCAUCGAUGAAGAACGCAGCGAAAUGCGAUAAGUAAUGUGAAUUGCAGAAUUCAGUGAAUCAUCGAAUCUUUGAACGCACAUUGCGCCCGCCAGUACUCUGGCGGGCAUGCCUGUUCGAGCGUCAUUUCAACCCUCAAGCCCCAGCGGUUUGGUGUUGGGCUUCGGCCGUCCUAGCGGCGGCCGUGCCCCAAAUUCAGUGGCGGACUCGCUGUUGCCUCCUCUGCGUAGUAAUUACACCUCGCACCGGAAAGACAGCGGGCCCACGCCGUAAAACAACCCAAUUUUCUGAAUGUUGACCUCGGAUCAGGUAGGAAUACCCGCUGAACUUAAGCAU
rnacentral:rRNA from 1 species